GCCUCGGUGGUCUAAUGGUUUAGGAUACUCGUACGAAAUACAAGAGAUCCGGGUUCAAGUCCCGGCCGAAGUA
rfam:Trachymyrmex cornetzi contig24282, whole genome shotgun sequence.